ACGAACGCUGAUGGCGUGCCUCAUACAUGCAAGUCGAGCGCGUAGCAAUACGAGCGGCGGACGGGUGAGUAACACGUAAACAAUCUGCCCUCAAGUGGGGAAUAACUAUCCCAACGGAUAGCUAAUACCGCAUAAGGAUGGAGGUGGCAUCACCUCUUCUCGAAAGGCUUCGGCCGCUUAAGGAUGAGUUUGCGUCCCAUUAGUUUGUUGGCGGGGUAACGGCCCACCAAGACUACGAUGGGUAUCCGGCCUGAGAGGGUGUACGGACACAUUGGGACUGAGAUACGGCCCAGACUCCUACGGGAGGCAGCAGUAGGGAAUUUUGCGCAAUGGGGGAAACCCUGACGCAGCAACGCCAUGUGUGGGAUGAAGCAUUUCGGUGUGUAAACCACUGUCAGCAGGGAGGAUGGGACGGGCAACCGUUCGGACGGUACCUUCAGAAGCAGCCACGGCUAACUCUGU
rnacentral:rRNA from 1 species